rnacentral:rRNA from 1 species
CAGCCGUAAACUAUGCUCGCUAGGUGUCAGGCAUGGCGCGACCGUGUCUGGUGCCGCAGGGAAGCCGUGAAGCGAGCCACCUGGGAAGUACGGCCGCAAGGCUGAAACUUAAAGGAAUUGGCGGGGGAGCACAACAACGGGUGGAGCCUGCGGUUUAAUGGACUCAACGCCGGACAACUCACCGGGGGACGACAGCAAUAUGUAGGCCAGGCUGAAGACCUUGCCUGAAUCGCUGAGAGGAGGUGCAUGGCGUAGACGUCU